GAACGCAAAUUGCGCUGUUGGGCAUUCCUGACAGCAUGCUUGGCUGAGUAUCAUCUGGAUAAAUCACAAACGUUUUUCUUUUGUGGAAUUGAGGUGUCGUAUUGGCAACAAUGCGUCCCUUUAAAUACAGCAAGGUGCAGAACUUUAGCGUUCUUGUACCACUAGUGUGUCAAUUGUCCUCUGGACAUCAUGCACUAUGUAGGUAUUUGGACAUUCAAGCUAAAUUUCUACAUCCUUUUCAAAACUCAUCUGAAACUUUGAUCUCAGCUCAAGCAAGACUACCCGCUGAAUUUAAG
rnacentral:misc_RNA from 1 species